AUUGAACGCUGGCGGCAGGCCUAACACAUGCAAGUCGAGCGAGCGGCGGACGGGUGAGUAAUGUCUGGGAAACUGCCUGAUGGAGGCGGAUCACUACUGGAAACGGUAGCUAAUAACGCAUACCAUCCGCUGUGCCCAGAUGGGAAUCGCUAGUAGGUGGGGUAACGGCUCACCUAGGCGAGGAUCCCUAGCUGGCCUGAGAGGAUGACCAGCCACACUUGAACUGAGACACGGUCCAGACUCCUACGGGAGGCAGCAGUGGGGAAUAUUGCACAAUGGGCGCAAGCCUGAUGCAGCCAUGCCGCGUGUGUGAAGAAGGCCUUCGGGUUGUAAAGCACUUUCAGCGGGGAGGCGUUACCCGAAGAAGAAGCACCGGCUAACUCCGUGCCAGCAGCCGCGGUAAUUC
rnacentral:rRNA from 1 species